AAUCCAAUUCAACUCUAAAAAUUAACAGGUUCUCUGAAAUUCUAGUUUGUUCCUUACAGGUCUUCUUUUUUUCUCUCUUUGGAGAUUGUCUCAUCAGAAUCGCGAAUGGAUGAGGGAGAAGAAACAUAGAGGAUCGUCGUUUCUACCGCUUUGUUUGGAGGGACGCAUAAUUGAGGUUGGAGUAUCCUUGCAAGGCCGAAACACCCUAACGCGCUACUGGUGGUGUCAUCUCAGUGAGAGUGAUAAUGUCAAGUUGCUCAUUGUGUGACAAUCCGUUGACUACAUGGACUCUCAGGCUACAUUCACAAAGUGUUUUUGAAAUGGUACCACAUGCAUGCUAAUUCAUAAGUUAAAUGUGAACCAUCCUGCAUCUGUGUCUAUGUGUAUUGAACAUUUGAAGUGGAUGUUGUGUGUUUGUGUGAUACAAUUAUUUAUAAUAUAUCUUUUCUCUUUAUGUCUUCUGUGAGUUUUAAAUAUUUGUGAAAUGUAUCUUACUUUCCAUUUGUUUGUUUUGUUUGUAUUUGGACUGAAUGUUACUUUUACGGGUGAAACGCUAUAAGGUCAAGAUGAUGAUGUGGGAGGAAAAGCUUAGCCCUUUGUUUAUUGUCUUUUAUUUUUAGUUUUAUUUUGGGACAAUAAAGCUUUGACGGUUUGUGUGGUUUAUU